rnacentral:rRNA from 1 species
UGGGGAAUUUUGGACAAUGGGCGAAAGCCUGAUCCAGCAAUGCCGCGUGUGUGAAGAAGGCCUUCGGAUUGUAAAGCACUUUUGUCCGGAAAGAAAUCCUUGGCUCUAAUACAGUCGGGGGAUGACGGUACCGGAAGAAUAAGCACCGGCUAACUACGUGCCAGCAGCCGCGGUAAUACGUAGGGUGCAAGCGUUAAUGAGUAUACUGGGCGUAAAGCGUGCGCAGGCGGUUUGCUAAGACCGAUGUGAAAUCCCCGGGCUCAACCUGGGAACUGCAUUGGUGACUGGCAGGCUAGAGUAUGGCAGAGGGGGGUAGAAUUCCACGUGUAGCAGUGAAAUGCGUAGAGAUGUGGAGGAAUACCGAUGGCGAAGGCAGCCCCCUGGGCCAAUACUGACGCUCAUGCACGAAAGCGUGGGGAGC